rnacentral:rRNA from 1 species
GAUGUCUACUUGAAGGUUGUGGCCUUGAGCCGUGGCUUUCGGAGCUAACGCGUUAAGUAGACGCCUGGGGAGUACGGUCGCAAGAUUAAAACUCAAAUGAAUUGACGGGGGCCCGCACAAGCGGUGGAGCAUGUGGUUUAAUUCGAUGCAACGCGAAGAACCUUACCUACUCUUGACAUCCAGAGAAUUUUCCAGAGAUGGAUUAGUGCCUUCGGGAACUCUGAGACAGGUGCUGCAUGGCUGUCGUCAG